CUAACACAUGCAAGUCGAACGGUAACAGGAAGCAGCUUGCUGCUUUGCUGACGAGUGGCSGACGGGUGAGUAAUGUCUGGGAAACUGCCUGAUGGAGGGGGAUAACUACUGGAAACGGUGGCUAAUACCGCAUAACGUCGCAAGACCAAAGAGGGGGACCUUCGGGCCUCUUGCCAUCAGAUGUGCCCAGAUGGGAUUAGCUUGUUGGUGAGGUAACGGCUCACCAAGGCGACGAUCCCUAGCUGGUCUGAGAGGAUGACCAGCCACACUGGAACUGAGACACGGUCCAGACUCCUACGGGAGGCAGCAGUGGGGAAUAUUGCACAAUGGGCGCAAGCCUGAUGCAGCCAUGCCGCGUGUAUGAAGAAGGCCUUCGGGUUGUAAAGUACUUUCAGCGGGGAGGAAGGUGUUGUGGUUAAUAACCGCAGCAAUUGACGUUACCCGCAGAAGAAGCACCGGCUAACUCCGUGCCAGCAGCCGCGGUAAUACGGAGGGUGCAAGCGUUAAUCGGAAUUACUGGGCGUAAAGCGCACGCAGGCGGUCUGUCAAGUCGGAUGUGAAAUCCCCGGGCUCAACCUGGGAACUGCAUUCGAAACUGGCAGGCUUGAGUCUUGUAGAGGGGGGUAGAAUUCCAGGUGUAGCGGUGAAAUGCGUAGAGAUCUGGAGGAAUACCGGUGGCGAAGGCGGCCCCCUGGACAAAGACUGACGCUCAGGUGCGAAAGCGUGGGGAGCAAACAGGAUUAGAUACCCUGGUAGUCCACGCCGUAAACGAUGUCUACUUGGAGGUUGUGCCCUUGAGGCGUGGCUUCCGGAGCUAACGCGUUAAGUAGACCGCCUGGGGAGUACGGCCGCAAGGUUAAAACUCAAAUGAAUUGACGGGGGCCCGCACAAGCGGUGGAGCAUGUGGUUUAAUUCGAUGCAACGCGAAGAACCUUACCUGGUCUUGACAUCCACGGAAGGUUUCAGAGAUGGGACUGUGCCUUCGGAGCCGUGAAAAAGGUGCUGCAUGCUGUCGUCAGCUCGUGUUGGGAAUUGUUGGUUUAGUCCGCACGAGCGCAACCCUUUWUUCUUUUUGUUGCAGCGAUCGGUCGGUACYCAAGGAAACUUGCAAUGAUAACUGGAAGAGGUGGGAUGACGUCAAGUCWUUCWUGGUCUASACAUGGCUCACCAGUGUCUUACAUGGCCCGAUCUAGAGAAGGCAUCCCUGCAG
rnacentral:rRNA from 1 species